rnacentral:piRNA from 1 species
AGGGCUGUAACCACUAAAGGCUUAU